UGAGAUGAACUAGCUCAUAGGGUAAACAUAUUACUGUGUUUUAGAAUUCUAAGAACUUCUGUGAUAUCUGAAUGAUGGUUUUUACUGUUACUUUCCACCAGCAAAAGAGAGCAGGUCAGUUGCACGUCUAUUGUGUAUGUUUAGCAAAUAAGUUAGACGACUAUAUAGUUUUUGGUGCAGCUGUUUGAAGCUGCAGAUAUUGCCUAUUUCUUCUCCUUAUUCUGAUAUGAUUAUAUCUUGUGCUUUUCUUUUUGGGAAUUUACAGAAGAUCGAUAAAUAAAAUAAAUAAAUAAUGGACCAGCAAGGCCAUGGACAGCCCCCAAAUAUGGGUGUGGUUGGUACUUCAGCUGAGAUGCCAUAUGGUGUGGCUCCUUAUCAGGCUAACCAGAUGAUGGGAACCUCUACUCCUGCACCGGCUGGAUUAAUUCCGUCUACACAGACUCCAGGUCAGCUUGCACAACACCAACUUGCUUAUCAGCAAAUCCACCAGCAGCAGCAACAGCAGUUGCAGCAACAACUCCAGAGCUUUUGGGCAAACCAGUAUCAAGAAAUUGAGCAGGUUACUGAUUUUAAGAAUCACAGUCUGCCAUUAGCUAGGAUUAAGAAAAUUAUGAAAGCCGAUGAGGAUGUUAGGAUGAUAUCAGCUGAAGCUCCAGUCAUAUUUGCCCGAGCCUGCGAGAUGUUCAUCCUUGAGUUGACUAUGCGUGCUUGGAAUCAUACAGAGGAGAACAAAAGGAGGACACUGCAGAAGAAUGACAUUGCAGCAGCAAUCACAAGGACAGACAUAUUUGAUUUUCUGGUUGAUAUUGUUCCUAGGGAGGAUAUGAAAGAUGAGGUACUUGCUGCAACAGUUCCAAGAGGGCCCCUACCUAUUGGAGGUCCAGCUGAAGGUGUUCCUUACUAUAACUAUAUGCCUCCACAGCAUGCUGCACAAGUUGGGUCUCCAGUUAUGUACAUGGGUCAGCAGCCUCGUCCUUACAUGGCUCCUCAAAUGUGGCCACAACAACAGCAACCUCCUGAAGACUCUGAUCAGUAAUGAGUGGACUGCUGGUCAUUAAAGCAUGUGAAGGUAAUUUUUUAAUUAUCAUGCUGUAAAUGAAGAUUAUAUUGAUAUCACAUCGGUGUUCUUUUAAUUCUUUUGAAUGUUUUAGUGGUUUUUGUUUUUUGUUUAUUGCUGACUUUUGUUUUGGUGGCCAUUGUCCAGUUUUUAUCCAGCACCAUUAAGUAAUGAAGACUAAUUUGAUAAGAAUACUAGAAAACAUUUAAAUUAAACAUGUAGAUAAUUUUAUACACUAUACUCUUGACCCCACCUGAGUCGCUGAACCCAUGUUCAUCAUCUUCUUUAAGAACAAGAAGUAUGGUGAUAACCUAGAUCAUCAGAAAGAAAGACAAGAGACCAGAGAAAAACUUUGUCACAAUUUUUAACUGAACACAAAGAGAGAAACAACCCCCUCUUGGAGAGCAGGGAAGCUUUCCUCGACCAACAACUAUGUUUUGUGAUAACAUCCCACUUACAAGUGGUAAGCAUCUUUAGAGAUUUGAUGGCAAAAUACUCUUACAUAUCUGAGCACUUAAGCUGCUAGUUGCACAAAUAGCAUUUAUCCCUCUGUCGCAAUUUUGACCAUCAGAGAAUCCUCCUCCGCAUUUCGCCCAUAUGACCAAAUUUACUUUCCUCUUCCCAUGUUUAAGCCCCAGGAUCCAUUUUAUGUCCUAAGAGCAUCACCAACCCUUGAAGUAAUUUUUGGCGUAGUUUUUACACCAAAUUUGGUGUAAAAAUCAGACCAGUUAUUCUCUCCAAGCCAUGUACACCGAAGUUAGGACUCUUUUUUGUAAUAUAGGUUAUUUUAUUGUUAAAGUUGAAAUUAAUAGAUUUUGUGGAACGUAAAAGGAAAUGAAAUUGGUUUAAGUAAGAAGUAUGAGGGUAGUGUUGGAUUUACAAAAACUCUAAAUUUGGCGUGACACCAAAUCUGGUGCAACGUUUAGAGUUUGGUUAGAGAGGAAUUUACACCAAAUUUGGUGUAAAGUACACUUUUAGAGUUUGGUUGUAGAUGGUCUAAGCACCACUAAACUCUCCAGCCUUUCUCCGUCUGCCACCAACAACUCAAUCGCCAGUAUUUAAGAUCAAACUGUAGUAACAUAUGGGGUAAAUAACUGCAACAUUUUCAUUUUUAAUUUAGGAAAAGGAGAGAGAAGAAAACCAGCUGUUGGCGAUCUAAUAUUUGUGUGUAUAAAUAUUUGAGGAUUGAAUAGUACUUGCAGUUGGUGGAGAGUAGCAAGUAAUUUUGCUCACCUGGGUUAUUGGCUGGGUNUGUAUUGCUUCAAAAGCGCUCAAGUAUUUACAUGAAAGUGAAGGCGUUAAUUAGAAUGAUGUGUGUAUUGUUUUUGGUGUUGAGGAACCACUUUAUCGUAUGAGGUUCUUGACAAGAGUAACAUCUCUACUUCAAAAUGCAACUCACAUGCCUUGUUCUUCAACUUCUAUAAAUGAAGAGGAAGAGGGAGAACAAGAAUUUAAAGGACCAGAAAUUGAACUAAGUGACUUCGAAGCUUUUGAUUUGUUGAACAUCACUGAUUCAUACUUUAUUAUUGAUAAUUUUGUUAUAUUAGACAUGUUAAGAAUCUAUUAAGUACUAUAUAUAUGUUAAAACUAUGAUCUUAUUUUUGAAAAAAAUGCCCGUGAUUAUGGCACUUCACGAGUCACGCUUCAAAAUUAGGUCCUGCACUUUUUAAGAUAUUGCGCCUUAAACAACACAGAGUGUAUCCCAAACUGCAUUUUGAACUUUGUCAAAAGUUGUACACAUCUGUCAUUCGUCCUUAAACCUCUGAGUCAAAACUUUUAAAAGAAAUUAAAGGUUUUUGGGUACUUAGGUAUGAAGUCUGGCAGUCGUGACAAACAGAUGUACAAGGUAUCACAACCAUGUUGUCAUAUCUUAAAUGAAUGAACUUGUUGGAUUUUGUGUUUGAAUGUACUUGGCAUUUUGUGAGAUGAACUAGCUCAUAGGGUAAACAUAUUACUGUGUUUUAGAAUUCUAAGAACUUCUGUGAUAUCUGAAUGAUGGUUUUUACUGUUACUUUCCACCAGCAAAAGAGAGCAGGUCAGUUGCACGUCUAUUGUGUAUGUUUAGCAAAUAAGUUAGACGACUAUAUAGUUUUUGGUGCAGCUGUUUGAAGCUGCAGAUAUUGCCUAUUUCUUCUCCUUAUUCUGAUAUGAUUAUAUCUUGUGCUUUUCUUUUUGGGAAUUUACAGAAGAUCGAUAAAUAAAAUAAAUAAAUAAUGGACCAGCAAGGCCAUGGACAGCCCCCAAAUAUGGGUGUGGUUGGUACUUCAGCUGAGAUGCCAUAUGGUGUGGCUCCUUAUCAGGCUAACCAGAUGAUGGGAACCUCUACUCCUGCACCGGCUGGAUUAAUUCCGUCUACACAGACUCCAGGUCAGCUUGCACAACACCAACUUGCUUAUCAGCAAAUCCACCAGCAGCAGCAACAGCAGUUGCAGCAACAACUCCAGAGCUUUUGGGCAAACCAGUAUCAAGAAAUUGAGCAGGUUACUGAUUUUAAGAAUCACAGUCUGCCAUUAGCUAGGAUUAAGAAAAUUAUGAAAGCCGAUGAGGAUGUUAGGAUGAUAUCAGCUGAAGCUCCAGUCAUAUUUGCCCGAGCCUGCGAGAUGUUCAUCCUUGAGUUGACUAUGCGUGCUUGGAAUCAUACAGAGGAGAACAAAAGGAGGACACUGCAGAAGAAUGACAUUGCAGCAGCAAUCACAAGGACAGACAUAUUUGAUUUU
rnacentral:lncRNA from 1 species